rnacentral:rRNA from 1 species
UACGGGGGGAGCAAGCGUUGUUCGGAUUUACUGGGCGUAAAGGGCGCGUAGGCGGUCGUGACAAGUCACUUGUGAAAUCUCCGGGCUUAACUCGGAACGGUCAAGUGAUACUGUCGGACUAGAGUACAGAAGGGGCAACUGGAAUUCUCGGUGUAGCGGUGAAAUGCGCAGAUAUCAGGAAGAACACCAAUGGCGAAAGCAGCUCUCUGGGACGGUACUGACGCUGAGACGCGAAAGCGUGGGGAGCGAACAGG